GCCUGGUUGGCUCAGUCAGUUAAGUGUCUGACUUUGACUCAGGUCAUGAUCUCACAGUUUGUGAGUUCAAGUCCCGCAUCAGGCU
rnacentral:tRNA from 1 species